UAGGGAAUCUUCGGCAAUGGACGAAAGUCUGACCGAGCAACGCCGCGUGAGUGAAGGAGGUUUUCGGAUCGUAAAACUCUGUUGGUAGAGAAGAACGUUGGUGAGAGUGGAAAGCUCAUCAAGUGACGGUAACUACCCAGAAAGGGACGGCUAACUACGUGUCAG
rnacentral:rRNA from 1 species